CGACUGUCGCAUGCACCCGAUA
rnacentral:miRNA from 1 species